rnacentral:rRNA from 1 species
UAUGUGAUCGUCUCUCGCAUAUCAAUAAGCGGAGGAAAAGAAACUAACAAGGAUUCCCCUAGUAACGGCGAGUGAAGCGGGAAGAGCUCAAAUUUGAAAUCUUAAAGGGUUUCCCUUUACGAAUUGUAGUUUAAAGAAGUGUUUUCUGUUGAGGUUUUGGUAAAAGUUCUUUGGAAUAGGACAUCAUAGAGGGUGAGAAUCCCGUAUUUGACCUUUACUUUCAACUUUGUGAUACACUUUCAAAGAGUCGGAUUGUUUGGGAAUGCAGUCCAAAAUGGGUGGUAAAUUUCAUCUAAAGCUAAAUAUCGGCGAGAGACCGAUAGCGAACAAGUACCGUGAGGGAAAGAUGAAAAGAACUUUGAAAAGAGAGUUAAACAGUACGUGAAAUUGUCAAAAGGGAAGCGUUUGACACCAGUGUUGUUUUUCUGAAAAUCAAUUAAAGAACUGUUUAUGCUAAGCUUGUUUAGACUUUAUCAGCUAACUGUUUAGUUUUGAGCUUUUCUUUAAUGCACUUUUCAGUUAACAAGUCAACAUCAAUUUCUUUUGCUGUAAAAAAGCUUGAGGAAGGUGGCUUGAGAUUCGUCUUAAGUGUUUAUAGCCUCUUGCCUAUGCAGUCGGAGAGAUUGAGGUCUGCAGCGUAGAUCCUUCGGGGCUAAAUGCAUUUGUGCUAAGUUAUAGCAUUUUAUAGACAACUUGUUGACUAUGAUUUGUCUUGUAGCUUACUCGCUUAUGUUAUUUUACCUACGCUUAGGAUGUUGAUCUACAGAGCGAGAGU